AGUUAAUGAACUUGAAUAAGUAUAUGUUUUGAAAACAUAAUAUAGAGUUAAAUUCUCUAUUAACUU
rnacentral:tRNA from 1 species